ensembl:lncRNA
AGCUAGUACCUGCUCAAGCAGAAAGGCUCCUACGGCCCCUUUGAGACACUGACUCUGCUGAACUCUGGGAGGGCAGAGCUAGACACAACUGCCGGAGAGAAAGAAGGAAUCACCUGCCAGGAAGGCAGCCUCCACCUGGCUCUGCAGCAGCCCUGCACCCACAAAAAGCCUCCCCAAUUUCAUCUUCUUUUUUUUCAUUUUUCAAUGAACAAGUACUUUUAUUCUCCCGCUUUCUCUUUUCUUCCUUCUUUCCUUCCUUCCUCCCUCCUUCCCUCCCUCCCCCUUCCUUCCUUUCUUUUCUUUCUUUCUCUUCCUUCCUUUUUCUUUCUUCCCCUCUGUCUCUCUCUCCCUUGCCCCUUUCACAACUUGUCACCUAUCUCUUCUCAGAUGGCACCUACCGGGUCCCCACGCUGGACCUGACGUGGGCAGCUUUCCCAGAGGAAGUGUUAGGAACCAGUGCCCAUCUUCCCCAAAGAAGGGCAGAGAGUCCCACGGGAGGGAGGGGAGGGGGGGUCGCCGCCGCCGCCGCUGCUGCUGCACCGACCUCCGUGCAGGGCAGCACUGACCCCCCCCCUCCCCGCCGUGGGCCGCCGGGCUCCCCCACUCGGGCUCCCUCUCUGUGCCUUUGCCCUGCCCCCUCCCCUAUGACCUCCAGCCGGGCCAGGCCGGUCCCCGCGGGGUCUCCCUUUUGUUUCUUUGUGUCCAGGACGAUCCCUGGCCCUGGGCUCGGGGGCUGGGCCCUGUCGGUCCCCGGCGGCUGGGGGGGGUUUCUUCCGCAUCGCCCCUUUGGGGUGCCUGGGGGGGGAGAGUGUUUGUUGACGAAGUGACGUCAGCCGGGCUGAUUCCGUCUGGGAUCGCGGGGAGCGGCUGAAGCCGCCGGGUCCGGCCAGGUCGCCCUCGCCCUCCCCUCCCGGAGCUGCGUGUGGGGGUUGGGGGCGCCCCGGCCGCCGGAGCCUCCUCGCCGGGAGCCGCAGGGCCGGAGCCGCGCUCGGGGCUCCCGGGGCUCCCGGGCUGCCCUUUGCAGGAAUGGUCCCUCCCAGCUGCCCCGCGCCCCCACCCCUGCAUCUGCCAGGGCCCGGGCAUUAAUCCCCUUGCCCGCGCUCGGCCGCCGCACUAGGAUUAGAGGCGGCCGGGGCAGCGAGGGAAGUGCGUCACAGGUAGGAGCAGGCUUGUAUGUUUGGGGAGGCUGGGGAGGGGGGGGAGAGCGGGGGGCCCGGAGGAUGGGGAUGAGAAAUAGGUUCUUGUGCGCUCUCCAGGGGUAUUGUGUCAGGAGAUGCGAGCUGCCGACCAUGUGACAAGGUACAGGCAGGAAGGGAUUGGCUGCGCUCCUGGCAGGCGUGUGAGCUCAGCGAGCUGUCCCUUUCUCUCCAGCAUCUUCCUGCCAUCCUGAGGUGGUCCAGGGCAGCCGCAUCCACGGCCUGCGCUCGCUGGCAGCAGCUCCGUCCGCUCGGGGCUCCUUGGAAAUUGAGGAAUGCGAUUCUGCCACCAUGAUGGAAGGAAGUGACCCCUGUGGAAAAAGGGGCCCAACUUACUUGCUGCCACCAACACCAACUACCGACCAACUACCACUGAUGCCCAAGGAGUGUCAGCAUCUUCCCCAGCCCUCACCAAGACCUCCAGUCCUGCUUCCCGCCCAGUGCCCUCAGUCAUCCUCUUGGGAAGCAAUUCCCAUAAAGAUGUGAACUGGCAACUGGCUUGUGAGUGCUGAAUUCACAGGGGUCAGAGAUCCCCAAAAGCAAGAGUCCUUGUUGCUGUCAAUUGGUGCAACAUCAGAAGCUGAUGUGACUUCAUCGGAAAUGACGACAAAGAGAAGGCCAGACCCUUUGCUUUGCUGAUGCACCCCAAGGACCACGGGGGGCUUCUAACUGGCGUUGAAACAUCACUGAGUGUCUCCCCCAUGGGAACACAAGCUACUUGCAGGCAAGAGCUGCUAUGCACCGAGCACAGCACUUGGCCCAAAAGAAGAGCUCGAUAAAUGCUUUUGCAUCCAUCCAUUCUGUUUCACCCCAUUCCCUUUACAUCUCUCCAGAAUUCUUCCACUGUAUGCUUUUCUAACUCCUCUCCCUCUCCUCAACGCUCUCACAUUGAUAUUUUCCUAGGCUUUGUCUUUGACCUUCUGCUGUCAUCUUUCUCAUACCCUCCUUUGGAAGCAGCUUCCACUAUCACCUCUCUACAAGUGACUCCCAAACACAGAGAUGCAGCCCUGACUCCUUCUGAAUCCUGAAUCCUGAACUCUGCCUUUUCUGAAUAGAGACCUACUAUUCCAACUGUUUUUGGAAUGUCUCAGAUGAACGUCUUUCCCCACUUCUAACCCAACCCCUCCAACUCUAUCCGUCCAGCUACUAUCUAUCUAUUCAUCUAACAAUCUAACUGCUAUUUGUCACUUAUGUUAUCUGUCAAACAUCUUUCCCCCUGCUUCCAACCCAAUCCUUCCAGAUCUAUCCAUCUGGCUACUAUCUGUCUGUCUACUUAUCUAACAAUGUAACUGCUAUUUAUCAUCUAUGCCAUUUAUCUGUCUACUAUCUGUCUACUAACAAUCUAACUUCUAUUUAUCAAAUAUAUCAUCUAUCUGUCUACCAUCCAACAAUCUAACUUCUAUUUAUCAUCUAUAUCAUCUGUCUACCAUCAAACAAUCUAACUUCUAUUUAUCAUCUAUAUCUAUCUGUCUACCAUUGAACAAUCUAACUUCUAUUUAUCAUCUAUAUCUGUCUAACAAUCCAACUUCUAUUUAUCUAUAUCAUCUCUCUACCAUCCAACAAUCUAACUUCUUUUUAUCAUCUAUAUCUAUCUGUCUACUAUCUAACAAUCUUACUUCUAUUUAUCUAUAUCAUGUCUCUGUCUACCAUCGAACAACCUAACUUCUAUUUAUCAUCUAUAUCUAUCUGUCUAUUAUCUAACAAUCUUACUUCUAUUUAUCUAUAUCAUGUCUCUGUCUACCAUCGAACAACCUAACUUCUAUUUAUCAUCUAUAUCUAUCUGUCUACUAUCUAACAAUCUAACGUCUAUCUGUCUAUAUCAUCUGUCUACUAUUGAACAAUCUAACUUCUAUUUAUCGUCUAUAUUAUCUACCAUCCCACAAUCUUAAUUUCUAUUUGUCAUCUAUAUCAUCUCUCUGUCUUCCAUCGAACAAUCUAACUUCUAUUUAUCAUCUAUGUCAUCUUUCUACCAUUGAACAAUUUAACUUCUAUUUAUCUAUAUCAUCUAUCUAUCUGCUAUCUAACAAUCUAACUUGUUUAUCAUCUGUAUUUUACAAUCUGUCUAUCAUCUAUGUCUAUAUAUCUGUAUGCUUGAGCAUCUAUUUGUCCACCUAUCUAACAAUCUAUUAUGUCUAUCUUCUCUGUUUACUAACAAUCUAACUUCUAUUUAUUAUCUAUAUCAUUUAGCUGUCUACUGUCUAACUUUUCUAUCAUCUAUAUCAUCUAUCUUUCUACCAUCAAACAAUCUAACUAUUUAUCAUCUAUAUCACCUGUCUGUGUACUAUUUAACAAUCUAACUUGUUUAUCAUCUGUAUUUUACAAUCUGUCUAUCAUCUAUAUCUAUCUGUAUGCUUGAGCAUCUCUUUGUCCACCUUUCUAACAAUCUAUUAUGUCUAUCAUCUGUCUACUAACAAACUUCUAUUUAUCAUCUAUCUUUCUACCAUCGAACAAUCUAUUUAUCAUCUAUAUCAUCUAUCUGUAUACUAUCUAACAAUCUAACUUGUUUAUCAUCUAUAUUUUACAGUCUAUCAUCUAUGCUUAUAUUUCUGUCUGCUCGAGCAUCUAUUUGUCCAACUAUCUAAUAGUCUAUUAUGUCUAUCAUCUGUCUAACAAUUGAUCUAUCUAAAAGUCAAUCACCUACCUUAUCUAUCUAUCCAUCUACCUCUCUAUAAGCUUUUAUUAAGCACCCACUAUGUGCUGGCCUUGGUGCUGGGGAUACAAGGACAAAAGUGAGAUGAUCCCUGCCCUCUGAAGGCUUUCAUUCACCUCUGGGGAUAUGGCAUAUGCACAGGAGGGGCCAAUGGGGCUCAUUGGUUUAGUCCAAGCGCUCUUGACAUUGAAUCCACAAACACCUAAGAGGUUCAUGGAUAGAUUUCAAGAGGUUUGUGAGCUUGAAUGAGAAGAAUACAUGGUUACUUUCACCAUAAUUGCUAAUAAUAUGUAUUUUAAAAUGUUACUCUGAGUAGGGGAUCGUAAACUUCAUCUGCCUGCUGAAAGUAUCUAGGACACUAAGAAGAUUAUGAGCUCUGCUUUGGUAGUCAUGAGGAGAAUGUAUGUGCAGAACCCCGGGGUACAAGUUUACCAUUCUCAUGAUUUUUAUCCUUUAAAGUUUCAAAGAUCCCUUGAGCAGUCAAUGAAGUCUAUAGAGCCCUUCUCAGAAUAGGAUUUUUAAAUGUCUAAAAUAAAAUACAUAGGAUUUCAAAGGAAUCCAAUUGCAUUGAAAUAUAAUUAUUAAAAUUAUUUUUUUAAAUAAGUUGACGAAUGCCUGUAGAAUUAAAUCAUUCACACUUCCACCUUAGGUAGGCUCUGUAGGUGAACAGUGACUCAGAUCCAAAAUUAAGCUGGAAGAGAAGGGCAGGCUGAAUCAUGUGGGAGAAAUUGCACAGCCCUUUCAAUGAUCCCCAGCUUUUCCAGCCACCAAGACAGACCUUUUUAACAUACAGACUCUCCCUGUGAUCUAUAUUGUUAUGAAACAUGGAGUAAAUGAAUAAGCAAAUAAAUGAAUAAAUGACUUAGUCCAUUUAUUUAGUGCUUCUUGUGUGGUGGGUACCAUAUACAUAUAAAAGUGAGAUAGUGCCUGCCUUUAAGGAGCUUGCAAUAGCAAUUACAAUUACAAUAGCUUGUAAUAGCAGAUAACUGAGGUACAGAUAAGUGAUCUAACAACCCUCAAAUUCCCAAAGCCAAUAAAGAAUAGACACAAAUGCCCUUUCCCCAAAACUGGGAAAGGUCUCACUGUCAUCUUCUGACCCAUCAUCAUGUUCCUUUCUUUCCCCUUUGCCUGUUGACUCAGUACAAUAACCUGUCAGAUUCCCCCUGGGCCCUAAUGCUGGGUACCUUCUAGGUAGGGGCAUGUUGGAGGCAGCUUGGACUGGCUCGAGAGACUCGAUCUUUAAAUGUUCCAUGUGAGCAUUUGCACCUUAGAAAGCAGCAUAACUUAUCAAGGUUUGAUUGAUUGUUUUCUUAUUGUCUAGACUUAAGAAAAUGAUGCAGAAAAUUAUGAUACAGACUAGACCUAAAAAUAUUGCCUUAUACAUUUUUUUCAGGGACUUGGUUCUUAAUCAUUUAUCAAAACAACUGAGUAGGUCAUUCCAGAAGGAAAGGUUUUUUUCCAAAAGAAAUACGGAUUGGGGGGAUAUUACAUAUAUGAGCUAGUAGUUAGCCCACAGAUUCAGAGCUGAAAAAAGAGGAAAUUUCAAGUCAAAUAUUUGAUAUCCAUAUCCAUAGAUAUGGGACAUAUGUAUAUAUAUUAUAUGUGCAUAUAUAUAUAUACAUAUGUCCAUAUGUUAUGUUUGUAUGCAUAUGUGUAUAUAUUUAUGUUUCUAUGUGUAUAUAUGUGGAAACUAAUGUCUAAGACAGUUAAGAAACUCCCCUACCCAGGGAGUAGGUAAAGAAUCAGGAUAUGAACUCAGGUCCUUUGAUUUCAAAUCCAAUUCUCUUGGACAUUGUCCUAUGGGAGACUUGACUCAUUUGUGUUUACUGGCCCAUUAAAAUUGUACAAUUUUAUUAUACAAUUAUAUAAUUUGUUACAUUGUAUAUUGUAUGUAUAUAAUAUAUGCAACAAAUAUUGCAUAAUUAUACAAUUACACAAAUUGUUACAAAUACAAAUAUUAUACAAAUUAUACAAAUACAAAUAUAUACAAUUAUACAAAUAUUAUACAAUAUUAUAAAAUUGACAAAUGGGAAGGAGAGGUG